UGUCGAGCUUUAAUAGAAGAAGAUACAC
rnacentral:piRNA from 1 species